rnacentral:rRNA from 1 species
AAGGUCUCCGUUGGUGAACCAGCGGAGGGAUCAUUACCGAGUUUACAACUUCCCAAACCCCUGUGAACAUACCUAUACGUUGCCUCGGCGGAUCAGCCCGCGCCCCGUAAAACGGGACGGCCCGCCCGAGGACCCUAAACUCUGUUUUUAGUGGAACUUCUGAGUAAAACAAACAAAUAAAUCAAAACUUUCAACAACGGAUCUCUUGGUUCUGGCAUCGAUGAAGAACGCAGCAAAAUGCGAUAAGUAAUGUGAAUUGCAGAAUUCAGUGAAUCAUCGAAUCUUUGAACGCACAUUGCGCCCGCCAGUAUUCUGGCGGGCAUGCCUGUUCGAGCGUCAUUUCAACCCUCAAGCUCAGCUUGGUGUUGGGACUCGCGGUAACCCGCGUUCCCCAAAUCGAUUGGCGGUCACGUCGAGCUUCCAUAGCGUAGUAAUCAUACACCUCGUUACUGGUAAUCGUCGCGGCCACGCCGUUAAACCCCAACUUCUGAAUGUUGACCUCGGAUCAGGUAGGAAUACCCGCUGAACUUAAG